rnacentral:rRNA from 1 species
GUGACCUCGGAUCAGUAGAUG